rnacentral:lncRNA from 1 species
GGAGAAGGCCUAGAUCACCCACAUGAAGUGUGACCGGAUGGUUGAGGAAUACAAAAAGUUCAAAGGGAAGAUGGAUGAGCUAGCCAAGGAGCACCAAAGGCUGCUCACAAAAAAGGCUUAAUUGAGCAUAGCGAAUAAGAGCCUCACUACCAAGCUAGUGGAGGCGAACGGGCAACUGAAAGACCUUAAUGAUUUCAUCGUGACUAAGAACGAAAAAGGCUUCAACAAGGCCCUUUUUCAUGUGGUUCUUCUCUUGGUAGUCGAUCUGGUGGCCAAAGGUUUUGACGUUAUGAAUGACAUCCAUGAGGGGGAACCUGGUUCCAUUGGAAGAGAUGUCGGGUAAUCUUGGGUUGGACGAGCUAAAAGGCGACAAUGGGGCAGACGGGCAGGAAGAGGUGUCGACGGAGGUUGAGGAUGACCACGAGGUCAAUGAUCAAUAUCUUUCUCUUUUCCUUUGUUUUUUGGGUGGAAUUUUUUUGCUAACUUUAGUUCAAUUUUUAGCUUGUUUCAUUUUUUAGAUAUAGUUGGGUGGAAAACACUGAACAUUAUGAAGUUUUUGCUUCAUCGGCACCUCAACACAAUUUUAUAUACCCCAAUUUAAACAUGAAAAUAAUCGAUUUGCUUUCAAUCUUCUCAAUUUGCCUUCGCUAUUUUUUACAAGUUACAAUUAUC